rnacentral:rRNA from 1 species
CACGUAGGGCGCAAGCGUUGUCCGGAAUUAUUGGGCGUAAAGAGCUCGUAGGCGGUCUGUUGCGUCCGCUGUGAAAACUCGGGGCUUAACCCCGAGCCUGCAGUGGAUACGGGCAGACUAGAGGUAGGUAGGGGAGAAUGGAAUUCCCGGUGUAGCGGUGAAAUGCGCAGAUAUCGGGAGGAACACCAGUGGCGAAGGCGGCGACCUGGGCCAAUAUUGACGCUGAGGUGCGAAAGCGUGGGGAGCAAACAGGG